UUUUCUCAAGUGCAUCAAAGAUUUAGCCAAUCUUCCAGAUUUUUUUAAGGCCUUAAACUUGAUUAAAAAACAAGUUUACAUUUGCAAAGGAGAAUUUUACUGGUUUAAAGCUCAUGUAAAGCUUAGACUACUUGGCCAAAAAGCAAGUCGGUAUAAGAUUUCCAUUAGAAAGUUUAAAAAGGCAUUUACACAGUUUAAUUUUUUCACUUUAUAUUGAUCAUUUAAGACACGCUGGCCCCCAUCUCUUUAUUUAAACACUGAAUUAGAGUUUUUUUGUUAAUAUUAAAAUUUGCAUUGAAAGUUUUAUAGUUCUUGAUUUAACAUUCCUGUGAUGUCUACACAGUCCAGUUAAUCAUCUGAGAAGAUUCUUCCUGGACUCUGUUAACUACAAUUGUCAUUUGAGUUACUGUGUCAUAUACAGAAAGACACCUGCCAGAAGACGCACUCUCAAAAGAUCACAGGUGAAAACAGAGAGAGGUAACUGAAAAUUAUUUAAUGGUUUAAGCUCUUGGGAUCAUGAGAGAAAACCUGUUGUACCUGUUGGGUAGAGCAUAUGUCAAACCUGUGUCUUAUAAUAGAGAAAAAUAUGAAUGUAAUAUAAUGUGAGGCAGCCAUCAUUAGCACUGUGUCAAAGGGAAAAGCUUUUUUUUUCCAUAUAUGUGCCUAAUGUUUACAUGUUAAGCAUGGCUUAUGCUCCAGAAUGCAUUCCAGUGAAUACACAGCAAUCAUGUUUAUUUACUGUUUUAUGGGAGUUGCUCAUGAUUUUAUUCUGUGUUAUUUCUCUAGAAGUGCUCUUACAGUGUGGCAGUAUGACAGUUGUCACAAAGUAUGUAAAUGUGGGAUUUUUAUGGUGGCAGGCCUAAACUAUCCUUUAACUUUUUUCAAAACUAUUUCUUUGUUGCAAUUUCACUGUGUUUAUUUGGUGUUGCUUUGCAAGUUUAGCUCAAAGAAAAGAAAAGCCUCACAGCAUCUCAUACAAUAACCGCACCCACUGAAAACAAAGGGGCAAAAAAAAAAAGCAUUAAAAAAUAAUGAACAUAAAACAAGCUCGUUCUUUGGGAGGCAGUUGGAAUAAAAGGAAUAAACACAGCUCUGUUUUUUUAAGAGUUCAGAGUGCGCAUGUGUGCACCUGGCCAGCAUAGCUCUGAUGACCACAAAAAGGGGUGCCGAGGACGCUGAGCUUCUACAGGUGCAGCAGUUUGGUUAAGGACGUGCAUCAGCCAGUCACACACCUACGGAUGAUGUCAGUUGUGGGUCAGAUCUGUGAUUACGAGGCUGCUGUGUUUUGUAUUUCUGUCUGUUUGUGUUUGCUCCAUGGAAACCAUUAAUAAUCAGGCCACUCUUGUGAUCAGUGUGCUUAAAUUAGAAGACUGCUCUGCUCCUCCUACUCUGGUGAUAUGUGUGUGAUCUUCAUUUAGGGAACCCUUCCCUGAGGUUUCUUCUUCUCUUCCAGCUCUACACAAACUAGCUUAAACGUGUGUGCUCGGGCACCUUGGGUGGCCACCUCUAUUUGGCAGGUGUACAAAAACAAACAGAGGUCAGCCAACCUGUUCAUGGCAAAGAGUGAAAGGAGAAAGUGGCGUUUGCCGCCCAGAUUAACGUGACUCUCAGGGAAAUGACACGUGUUAGGAAGCUGGCGUGCCAAAAACUUCCCAGAGGGAUUCAAGUGAAAUGCACCAGGAACUUGGAACCAUUGCAGGAUUUGGAUAUCAAAUCAAAAACACUAAUUGGAGAAGAAUGGGCGCGAAAAAAGUUAUUAAUUGACCAAGGUGCAGGACAUGAGCGGGGCAGAAAGACUUGUCAGUCAGAUGGCCACACCCAUAUCCUCAUCUCCCAUUGGAUGCCGACAGUUUCCAUGGCCACCUCUGUUUUGCACUUCUGCUUGGGCAAAAUAGUACCACUCACAACCACACCACUCAGCUUACACAUGAGUCAUGGAGAUACAGAAAAGAGCUUACUUGUUUGCCUUAGAAAAGGUUUGCUUUUUUGAACAAGAACAUUGUCAUCAUAGCUGGAUAUCAGCGCCCACCUCAGCCACCCCACUCCUUUUCCUUUUUGCAGAUGCAUGCAUUCCUUAUUUUUCAGGCAUGACAGAACUUAAAGUUCUCGGGGAUCAGUGUUUGUAAUGUAUGAAAGUUUUUUUAUAUGCUCUGAUGAAGUGAAUAAAAGCAGGAUAAAGUUG